UGCAUAUCAAUAAGCGGAGGAAAAGAAACCAACAGGGAUUGCCCCAGUAACGGCGAGUGAAGCGGCAACAGCUCAAAUUUGAAAUCUGGCCCCUAGGGCCCGAGUUGUAAUUUGCAGAGGAUGCUUUUGGCGAGGUGCCUUCCGAGUUCCCUGGAACGGGACGCCAUAGAGGGUGAGAGCCCCGUCUGGUUGGAUGCCGAGCCUCUGUAAAGCUCCUUCGACGAGUCGAGUAGUUUGGGAAUGCUGCUCUAAAUGGGAGGUAUAUGUCUUCUAAAGCUAAAUACCGGCCAGAGACCGAUAGCGCACAAGUAGAGUGAUCGAAAGAUGAAAAGCACUUUGAAAAGAGGGUUAAAUAGUACGUGAAAUUGUUGAAAGGGAAGCACUUAUGACCAGACUUGGACCCGGUGAAUCAUCCAGCGUUCUCGCUGGUGCACUUUGCCGGGCUCAGGCCAGCAUCAGUUUGCCUCGGGGGAUAAAGGCUUUGGGAAUGUGGCUCCCUCGGGAGUGUUAUAGCCCAUUGCACAAUACCCUGGGGCGGACUGAGGUUCGCGCAUCUGCAAGGAUGCUGGCGUAAUGGUCAUCAGUGACCCGUCUUGAAACACGGACC
rnacentral:rRNA from 1 species